GCCAUUUUGAAUACAAUCGAUGUGCAGACGAUCGCGUUUAAGAAAAUUCCAUUAUACCGCGUAACUGAAUCGAGUUCUCAAUUAAAUCGGUCCAUGUAAUCCGGAACACAUCAAAUCUGAUGGUAUGAUAAGGGGACACGGAUUAGAAGACCCCACUUGAAAUUUUUAUAAAAACACAAAAAUUAUCAUAAAGUCAAUGCUACCGGUUCAUAGUAAUCAGCCACAACAAACGAAAGCUGAAAAAGCACAAGCGGUCCUCGCACAAUCUGCCGAUUUUUUAUAAUUUCGGUGCGAAAUGCGAGAUACUAUAACGACCGUUUUUUUCACCAUCCGGAAGGAGCUGGAGCCGGCUGGACUACUUGAAGAACAUCACCCGCCGGCAAUCAAUAAAUUAUUAAACCCCCCGUAAACGAACAGCCCUGGUGUUGUGGCACUGAUAUGUUGGCCAUUUGCUGAAGCUACGGAUCUACAAAAUGCCACCCAGGCAUAUGGGAUCACCACUUCCGGAGUUA